rnacentral:rRNA from 1 species
UACAGAGGGUGCGAGCGUUGUCCGGAAUCACUGGGCGUAAAGGGUGCGUAGGCGGGUCUUUAAGUCAGAGGUGAAAUCCUGGAGCUCAACUCCAGAACUGCCUUUGAUACUGAAGAUCUUGAGUUCGGGAGAGGUGAGUGGAACUGCGAGUGUAGAGGUGAAAUUCGUAGAUAUUCGCAAGAACACCAGUGGCGAAGGCGGACUCACUGGCC